AGUGAACGCUGGCGGUAGGCCUAACACAUGCAAGUCGAACGGCAGCACAGUAAGCGCUUGCUCUUACGGGUGGCGAGUGGCGGACGGGUGAGGAAUACAUCGGAAUCUACUUUUUCGUGGGGGAUAACGUAGGGAAACUUACGCUAAUACCGCAUACGACCUACGGGUGAAAGCAGGGGAUCUUCGGACCUUGCGCGAUUGAAUGAGCCGAUGUCGGAUUAGCUAGUUGGCGGGGUAAAGGCCCACCAAGGCGACGAUCCGUAGCGGGUCUGAGAGGAUGAUCAGCCACACUGGAACUGAGACACGGUCCAGACUCCUACGGGAGGCAGCAGUGGGGAAUAUUGGACAAUGGGCGCAAGCCUGAUCCAGCCAUACCGCGUGGGUGAAGAAGGCCUUCGGGUUGUAAAGCCCUUUUGUUGGGAAAGAAAAGCAGCAGGUUAAUACCCCGCUGUUCUGACGGUACCCAAAGAAUAAGCACCGGCUAACUUCGUG
rnacentral:rRNA from 1 species